AUACGUAGGUCACAAGCGUUAUCCGGAAUUAUUGGGCGUAAAGGGUGCGCAGUCGGUCAAUUAAGUCUGUGUUGAAAGUGCGGGGCUCAACCCCGUAUUGGCAUGGAAACUGAUAGACUAGAGUACAGUAGGGGGUAAUGGAAUUCCAUGUGUAGCGGUAAAAUGCGUAGAUAUAUGGAGGAACACCAGUGGCGAAGGCGGUUACCUGGACUGAAACUGACGAUGAGGCACGAAAGCGUGGGGAGCAAAUAGGAUUAGAUACCCUAGUAGUCCACGCCGUAAACGAUGAAUACUAAGUGUUGGGGAAACUCAGUGCUGCAGCUAACGCAAUAAGUAUUCCGCCUGGGGAGUAUGCACGCAAGUGUGAAACUCAAAUGAAUUGACGGGG
rnacentral:rRNA from 1 species